rnacentral:rRNA from 1 species
UACGAAAGGAGCAGGUGUUAUUCAGAUUAACUGGGCGUAAAGGGCCAGUAGGCGGCCAACUAAGUCGGAUGUGAAAUCCCCAGGCUUAACCGGGGAACUGCGUCUGAUACUGGAUGGCUUGAGUUCGGGAGAGGGAUGCGGAAUUCCAGGUGUAGCGGUGAAAUGCGUAGAUAUCUGGAGGAACACCGGUGGCGAAGGCGGCAUCCUGGACCGACACUGACGCUGAGGAGCGAAAGCCAGGGGAGCAAACGGG